AACAGCUUGUUGCCCGAAAGUAACCAAGGAAUUAAUCCACUGCUAUUAUUGACAAAGGAAUAAAGGAAAUGGUUAACUCUAAAGGGAAUAGAAUUGACUAGGGUCCAGAAAAGUAGAAGACCCAUCUUGGUAACCCAGCAAGGUUGCCAUCUUCUUCAUGAUCUGACUCUCUUCAUCCAGCCUUUCUUAUACUUUCUUCUUCUGGGUCUCCCCACAUGGGUGCAGGUUCCCAAGGUUUUGGACUGCUUUCCCAGGCCACAAACAGGGAGCUGGAAAGGAAAUGGAGCAGCCGGGAUACAAACAAGCACCC